UGGGGGAAAGCUGGCAGUCACAGGCCUCAUCCAGUUCCCAUGCAAUCUGAAGGGCCAAUCUCACUCCCUUCAGGGUGUGCACCCCUCAACAGCACCAAGUCUGUUUCCGGGGAGUGGGCAAGCAGGGCUGAGAACUUGCCCCAGGCUACCUGCCUCCCAGCUGCAAAAGCAAAUAUGGCUUUCCUUCUGCCUAUGAAGUCUGCACACCAGAUGCACACCCUCCCCCAAGUUCUGGGCAGGAGGCUUCUCAAUCAGGUCAAAUUGUUACAGAGUUCAGCUGGAGAUUUCCCUCUCCCCACGGCCUUUUCCUAGCACCUCUGGCCACCCUCCGGAAGGACUCCUGUGAGGCCAGGCAAAACUGUCUUACUAGGAGACUCAGCAAGCUCCCAGGACUUUUCUCGCUGCUUCCUCUACCCCUGUAUUUUUCUUGGCUCUCUAAAGUAACUCAGCUUCAGGAACUUCAGAAGAAAUGAAGGAUACAUUUCUCCUAGAGAAGAGACUAUGGGAAGCAUAAUGAGGACCUUCAAAUGAAAGAGAAGGUGGACAGGUCCUGCUUUGCUGCAACCAGCACUGUCAGAACUAGAAGGCAGAGAGUUGAAAGAAUCAGAUGUCUGUUCAAUACAAGCUACUUGGCUGGGCACAGUGGCUCACAUCUAUAAGAAAACUGGGGCACAGAGAGGUCAGCUAACUAGACUAAAGUCACACAGCUGGAAUAUGAGAGAGCCAGGACCAAGCCCGCAAGUGGAGCCUUCAGGUCUAUGCCUUCCCCACUGCACCGCACAGCCUGGGACACAAGCAGAGAUCAUCUGAAGGCACUCAGAAGAAAAGUAUGGGAUGGAGUCAAGGAAGUCUUCCGGCAUUUGAAUAAACAGCCACAGUGAGGUAGCUCUGCCCCUCCGAUGAAAAGGGAGGAAAAUUGCCUCAUUAAAAAACAUUUUCAAUAAAAAAUUUUCAUCAGAAACAUUCGCAAGAGGGUUUUGGUCAAAUGACGCAAUAAUUUUCAGGCAAUAAUAACCAUGCUUUUGAAAGUCAGUGCUGAUUACCAGGUGUAUUGAAAAUGGCCUUGGGGAAAUCUCUGUGCAAAUAUUUCCUUUCUAGUUUAAUUUCAAAGACUACUUAAAAGAAGAAAGGGAGGAUGUCUGCAGUAAUAAAGGAGCAAUCAUUUGCACCUGGACAGGACUAUGCUUCAUCCCAGAAUCUGGAGCGUUUUGUGUACAGACGGGAGAGCCCGGGUGUGCAGUGGAGGCUGCGGGGCUGGGAAGGGAUAUGGCAGAAAAACAAGGUACCUCUACCAAGGUCACACGGAAACACAGGUGGACUCGAUAGCACGGCUCCCACCUGAUUACAAUCACACAGCUUCCCUGCUCUAAAGAGAACACCGAUCACGUGAUGGGAGGUCCCUCCUCGCUUCAAGAUCAAAGCCUCUGCAGCUGCCAUGAAGCUAAUAAGGCCAUGGCCAAGUUUACUGAGCAUCUGUUACAUACACAGCCCGUUAGGCACCACGGGAGAGAACGAAGAGGGAUAGACCCUGAUCCUGCCAGCAAGUGCCAGACGAGCU